rnacentral:rRNA from 1 species
UACGGGGGGGGCAAGCGUUGUUCGGAAUUACUGGGCGUAAAGGGCUCGUAGGCGGCCAACUAAGUCAGACGUGAAAUCCCUCGGCUUAACCGGGGAACUGCAUCUGAUACUGGAUGGCUUGAGAUUGGGAGAGGGAUGCGGAAUUCCAGGUGUAGCGGUGAAAUGCGUAGAGAUGUGGAGGAAUACCGAUGGCGAAGGCAGCCCCCUGGGUCAAUACUGACGCUCAUGCACGAAAGCGUGGGGAGCAAACAGG